rnacentral:rRNA from 1 species
GACGAACGCUGGCGGCGUGCUUAACACAUGCAAGUCGAACGGUAAGGCCCUUCGGGGUACACGAGUGGCGAACGGGUGAGUAACACGUGGGUGAUCUGCCCUGCACUUCGGGAUAAGCCUGGGAAACUGGGUCUAAUACCGGAUAGGACCAUUGCCUGCAUGGGUGGUGGUGGAAAGCUUUUGCGGUGUGGGAUGGGCCCGCGGCCUAUCAGCUUGUUGGUGGGGUGAUGGCCUACCAAGGCGACGACGGGUAGCCGGCCUGAGAGGGUGACCGGCCACACUGGGACUGAGAUACGGCCCAGACUCCUACGGGAGGCAGCAGUGGGGAAUAUUGCACAAUGGGCGCAAGCCUGAUGCAGCGACGCCGCGUGAGGGAUGACGGCCUUCGGGUUGUAACCUCUUUCAGCACCGACGAAGCGCAAGUGACGGUAGGUGCAGAAGAAGGACCGGCCAACUACGUGCCAGCCGCCGCUGUAA